rnacentral:rRNA from 1 species
UUUUAUUUGAGAGUUUGAUCCUGGCUCAGGAUGAACGCUGGCGGCGUGCCUAACCCAUGCAAGUUGAGCGAUUUACUUCGGUAAAGAGCGGCGGACGGGUGAGUAACGCGUGGGUAACCUACCCUGUACACACGGAUAACAUACCGAAAGGUAUGCUAAUACGGGAUAAUAUAUUUGAGAGGCAUCUCUUAAAUAUCAAAGGUGAGCCAGUACAGGAUGGACCCGCGUCUGAUUAGCUAGUUGGUAAGGUAACGGCUUACCAAGGCGACGAUCAGUAGCCGACCUGAGAGGGUGAUCGGCCACAUUGGAACU